CUGCAACCCGACUCCGUGAAGCUGGAUUCGCUAGUAAUCGCGCAUCAGCCAUGGCGCGGUGAAUACGUUCCCGGGCCUUGUACACACCGCCCGUCAAGCCAUGGGAGCCGGGGGUGCUUGAAGUGCGUCGCCGCAAGGCGCGCCCUAGAGCAAAACCGGUGACUGGGGCUAAGUCGUAACAAGGUACC
rnacentral:rRNA from 1 species